AGUGAACGCUGGCGGCGUGCUUAACACAUGCAAGUCGAACGAGAACGGGUUAUAACUUGUUAUAACUGUCAGCUAAGUGGCGCACGGGUGAGUAAUGUAUAGGUAAUAUGCCUUUUACUAAGGGAUAACAAUUGGAAACGAUUGCUAAUACCUUAUACUCCUAUUUAACAUAAGUUAAAUAGGGAAAGAUUUAUUGGUAAGAGAUUGGCCUGUAUUGUAUCAGUUAGUUGGUGGGGUAAUGGCCUACCAAGACGAUGACGCAUAACUGGUUUGAGAGGAUGAUCAGUCACACUGGAACUGAGACACGGUCCAGACUCCUACGGGAGGCAGCAGUGGGGAAUAUUGCACAAUGGACGAAAGUCUGAUGCAGCAACGCCGCGUGGAGGAUGACACAUUUCGGUGCGUAAACUCCUUUUAUAUAAGAAGAUAAUGACGGUAUUAUAUGAAUAAGCACCGGCUAACUCCGUG
rnacentral:rRNA from 1 species